rnacentral:tRNA from 1 species
GCCGGAAUAGCUCAGCUGGUAGAGCGGCGCAUUCGUAAUGCGUAGGUCGGGGGUUCGAAUCCCUUUUCCGGCACCA